rnacentral:rRNA from 1 species
AUUGAACGCUGGCGGCAUGCCUUACACAUGCAAGUCGAACGGUAACAGGUCUUCGGAUGCUGACGAGUGGCGAACGGGUGAGUAAUACAUCGGAACGUGCCCGAUCGUGGGGGAUAACGCAGCGAAAGCUGUGCUAAUACCGCAUACGAUCUACGGAUGAAAGCGGGGGAUCGCAAGACCUCGCGCGGACGGAGCGGCCGAUGGCAGAUUAGGUAGUUGGUGGGAUAAAAGCUUACCAAGCCGACGAUCUGUAGCUGGUCUGAGAGGACGACCAGCCACACUGGGACUGAGACACGGCCCAGACUCCUACGGGAGGCAGCAGUGGGGAAUUUUGGACAAUGGGCGCAAGCCUGAUCCAGCCAUGCCGCGUGCAGGAUGAAGGCCUUCGGGUUGUAAACUGCUUUUGUACGGAACGAAAAAGUUCUCUCUAAUACAGGGGGCGAAUGACGGUACCGUAAGAAUAAGCACCGGCUAACUACGUGCCAGCAGCCGCGGUAAUAC